rnacentral:rRNA from 1 species
GAUGAACGCUGGCGGCGUGCCUAAUACAUGCAAGUCGAGCGAAUGGAUUGAGAGCUUGCUCUCAAGAAGUUAGCGGCGGACGGGUGAGUAACACGUGGGUAACCUGCCCAUAAGACUGGGAUAACUCCGGGAAACCGGGGCUAAUACCGGAUAACACUUUGAACCGCAUGGUUCGAAAUUGAAAGGCGGCUUCGGCUGUCACUUAUGGAUGGACCCGCGUCGCAUUAGCUAGUUGGUGAGGUAACGGCUCACCAAGGCAACGAUGCGUAGCCGACCGGAGAGGGUGAUCGGCCACACUGGGACUGAGACACGGCCCAGACUCCUACGGGAGGCAGCAGUAGGGAAUCUUCCGCAAUGGACGAAAGUCUGACGGAGCAACGCCGCGUGAGUGAUGAAGGCUUUCGGGUCGUAAAACUCUGUUGUUAGGGAAGAACAAGUGCUAGUUGAAUAAGCUGGCACCUUGACGGUACCUAACCAGAAAGCCACGGCUAACUACGUGCCAGCAGCCGCAGUAAAAC